rnacentral:lncRNA from 1 species
UUAUAGAGAUCAAGAAUGCAUAGAGUAGUCUGGACAAACUCCUCAAGGAUAAAACCUUGACGAUGUUCCCUCCCCGCAUAAUGUGGCCAGCUCGUCCAACUAGCAUUACCCCGAAUACUUCUACACGAGACCAUUCGAGCGUGGCACCACCAUUGCUGACACAACUGUGCCAUGGCAGACCCGUCUCCUAUGGGUCUGGGGGG